CAAUAAAAAAAAAGUGCAGAAGGUCACGUAAGCACAAGUUAACGAAGACAUGUGCACGGAAAAUCACUUUAUGUUGUUUGAAAAUGAAUUCGGCGCAUUGGAAGGCAGCAGGUACAACUUUCAACAACAACAUGGAAAUAAGUGCGCUAUGUCGGUCUCAAAUUUUCCGACAUCAUUAAGUAUAAGCGCCGAGUCUGCUGGCACGAGGUUCCAGUCAGGCGACGUUCCAGAAAUAGCGCAGCAUAAAUAACGCGAAGCGAAACAGCUCAUGCAUGCAGGGGUCGGGGAAAGGCGACCUUGCGCCAACGCUAUCGAGAUUCAUUAGUUCGCGAGCAGCUCCGCCGGUUGUUUAUAAAUGCAUGCGCCCGCGUCCGCACGUCCUCUUUUCUGAAGUUUGUGGUGGCUUAAACAGUAAACAUAUGUUAAUAUGACUUUGUUAUAGUCUGGCAUCGUCUACGCUCAGUACGCUACGUUAUUAUUAUUAUUAUUAUUAUUAUUAUUAUUAUUAUUAUUAUUAUUAUUAUUAUUAUUAUUAUUAUUAUUAUUAUUAUUAUCAUCGUCGUCGUCGUCGUCGUCGUCAUCCUCAUCGUCACCAUCCUCAUGGGCGUCGGUAGUAGUGGUAGUAAUUGCCCUUCCUUUGCCAAACUUACUAUUAACCUCUCUGAUAUGCACUCAAACCUAAUUGUGACGAACUGGUUCAUGCACUACAAAAAUUUCAAUAUAUCAAGUAAGCCGAUAUUGUCGAACUCGGGUAAUAGCGAAAUUCUGCUAACCUUUGAGAUGAUGUCUUCUUUCUGUAUUUUUUUUUCUUUCCUUUCUUUUUCACGCAGAUGCGCGCUAUACGGCCGAAACACCGCCAUACCGGCCUGCCUUUCGCAGCAGCAUGUGUAGCAGCUCCAAUUAACCAGAAUUCACUGGCCAAUCACAAACGCCGGAUCGUUCAUCACUCUAUCGUCCCUCACUGGUCUCCAACGUGGUGCUCCUGUCUCCAACGUGGUGGACCUGUCUCCAACAUGGCACAAUACGAGGCAGCCACGUGGCAAACUGAACCUGCCGUCAACGCUUUCUCCGGGAGUUCUCGACGAUGACCCUGUCAUCGAUCAGUGGCCUUUUCGUGACGGUCAGGAGGGGCGACGUCGCGGUCUUGAAGCGAGCUGCCUUGAAGUGAAUGAUGAGGCAUGAACAUCAACCGUGACAGCUGCGUGUCGAUGGUGGAUCAUCCUUUGUACUGUUGAAUCGCCAAGCAAAACAGCACCUGCGACAGCUGCGUGUUGCUGGUGAGGCAUACCCCGCUCUGAGGGACAGUCAGGCACCACCCAAUAAACUGUACCGCUCAACCCGCC